CACGUAGGGCGCAAGCGUUGUCCGGAAUUAUUGGGCGUAAAGAGCUCGUAGGCGGUUUGUCGCGUCUGCUGUGAAAACCCGAGGCUCAACCUCGGGCCUGCAGUGGGUACGGGCAGACUAGAGUGCGGUAGGGGGAGAUUGGAAUUCCUGGUGUAGCGGUGGAAUGCGCAGAUAUCAGGAGGAACACCAAUGGCGAAGGCAGAUCUCUGGGCCGUAACUGACGCUGAGGAGCGAAAGCAUGGGGAGCGAACAGG
rnacentral:rRNA from 1 species